AUCAGUGUUUUUGCCCGUUUGCCAGUUCGUUCUUUUACUUCGUUUCGAAGCUUUUACCACCGGUCUGGAUCUACAAAAACGUGAAAGCAUGAACCAAAUUGAACCAAGGGAACGCGGAGGUGCGCGACAUGGGUUGACAGGUUCCGUUGCGCCUAAAAAUCUCAACCCAGCUUCGGGCGGACUAACCUAUCUUCACGAAGCGCGGGGAAACAUUUUCCCAGGACAAAAGUGAGGAAACUUCUAAUAGUGUUUCAUAGCUUCAAGAACAAAUUGAUGGUGAUAUCUGAGUGCCUUUUUAUUUCAAGAACAAUGGUAUGACUCAUUUCCUUGAUCAAAAUAUGGUGUUGACCAUGAUUCUCCGAUUUUGAAGUCAUUUGUGUCUGCGUGUGGAGAUCAGCCGUUCCCAUUUUUGGUCGGAGAGACUCAACUUGGCAUCACGCACCAAUGCACUACAACUACAGUGUGGGAACGCACUGCGGCCCGGGUGACCGACGCACGUCGGGCGUUCCAUUCGUUCGCAGUAUGGAUGGGCCCUCUGAUCAAUCCAUCGCGCAGGGCCGCGCCGCAGCCGCCACGCCUCUCCAGGUGCAGGAGCAGCUGCCCACUGUCCAGGUUGACGGCAUCCUGGAGGCCCUGGCAUGCGCGAAGGCUGCCGGCUGCACCCCGAGAAGGCCAUCAUGCUGCAAUGCCUGUUCCAAUCAUCCCGGUGACGAGACGUCCGGCAGCCCCACGUCAUCGCCGUCCUGGGUGUCGUCGUCAUCCUGGAGGGUUUGACCCCUGGCGCGCCUCCACUGUGACAGGUUCAUUGUCCCCGCGUCCUAGACAAUGCCGGUGCAGAUUACGUCGUGGGGGAUCAGCCGGCCAGGGAUUCGUCAUCCGGGCCAAUCAGGACUCGCCAUGCGAAGAUCCGCCCCACGGUGUGGGAAAGCGGGGCCCCGCCUCGCAGGACUGUACCGGCCGGGCGAAAAUCCACACCGGGAAGAACCACCCGACAGGAGAGGUUUCACAAGUGAAAUUUGCCAAAAUAAAUGUUGGGCAAGCCCACGUCGUUGAUUUUUGUAACCUCCCCAGAA